rnacentral:rRNA from 1 species
UACGGAGGGUGCAAGCGUUAUCCGGAUUCACUGGGUUUAAAGGGUGCGUAGGCGGGCCGGUAAGUCCGUGGUGAAAUCUCCGAGCUUAACUCGGAAACUGCCAUGGAUACUAUUGGUCUUGAAUACUGUGGAGGUGAGCGGAAUAUGUCAUGUAGCGGUGAAAUGCUUAGAUAUGACAUAGAACACCAAUUGCGAAGGCAGCUCACUGCGCAGUGAUUGACGCUGAGGCACGAAAGCGUGGGGAUCAAACAGGAUUAGAAACCCCAGUAGUCC